AAGCCAGGCCUCUUCACCUGGCCAGAUGGGCUUUUUGUGGAUGGGUUACUUUGGCCAUUGGCCGCUGCAGGCAUUGGCCGGUUAUCAUCCUCCAAGUGGCCAAGUGUGGUGUUGGCUUCAUUUCCCGACAGGGUCUUGGCUGUGUGAAGAAUUGUGAAGUGCCAGGGAAACCAAUGGUCGUGGCUUCCUGGGACCCGGGAAAGAGUUAGGGCUCCUGCCCCCAUCACCUCUCGGCACUUCCUCCUGGGCACGCGGGCUACUGUGCAGGCACGGUGGCUUCAGGCAUAUGCAACCCCCACUCCCAGGCAUUAGCUGCAAGCACCUCUUUGUUUUCAAAAAGCACAUUCCUAUUUCUCCAGUUUGGACAAAAUACACAGAAGAACCUGAUGUGACCUUCUAGGGCAACGGGCUUCAACCUUCACUGCAUAUUAGAACCGGCCGAGAAGACUGAAAAAUUCCGGAGCUCAGCCCCAUUUAGGCCAAUGAAAAGCGUCUCCAGGCCUCAGUGUCUGGACGGCUCCUCAAGUGAUUCCAGUGCCCACCAAGGUGGAGCCACGCUGACCCAGGCAGCGCCUCUCCCAGUCGCUUGUGCAUAAGAAUUGUCCACGGGAUGCAUUACAACACAGCUUCUGAAGCCCCAGCCCCAGAAUGUGGAGUCAGUGUUUCUAGGGCUGGGCCUGAGAGGAGGCGUUGUUAACGAGCCCCAGGUGAUGCUGCUGCUGCCUGUCCACGGACCACACACUGAGCAGCUCUGUUCCAGAGCUUUGCUACUCAGUGCGCAGUCCGUGGAGCAGGAGCCCGGGCAUCACCCAGGAACUCAUUAGAAAUUAAAAAUCUUGAGCUGUCUCAGACCUGUUACAUCAACAUCCGUGUUUUAAAAAGGGCUCUAGGAAAUCUAGUUGCACAGCAAGGAUCGAAAAGCGUUAACACGUAGGGUGCAGACGUGCAGCCCCUGGGCCAAAGUUAGCUGGCAGAUGUAUACCACCCUGGCUUGCACAGUAUUUUUUAAAAUUUGGAAUUAAUUUACACUUUAAAAUUGGGAUUUCUGACUUCUCUUGAAAAACUGGAAGAUCUAGCAAUACUGGGCGUCCGUUCUCACGUGGUGACAACUGGAGACAGAAUGGACGUGCUCCAAGCUGCUGCAGAAUGACUUCGUUCACUAAGGGUGUCUGCAGGGCCUCUGCUGGCCCUGACAUCUGCAGCUCCUGGUUCAUGCCCUCCCCUCCCCGGUCCCUCCCCAGCCGGAUGACUGCUCCCAAGCAUUUUUUCUUGAGCCCACCUACUUUAUCUCUCUGUACUUCCCUCUAUUCAUCUGUAAAAUGGGUCGAUAGCACCUAUUCAGGCUUCUGAUCUGGAUGAAAUGGAGAUGGAGGUCACGCUUUAAGGUCCAUACCUCUGUUUUACACACGAGUUGAUCCUAUACCCAGAGUUUCCCCAAGCAAGAUCCCUGGACCAGCAGCACUAACAUCAGUGGGGAACUUGUUAGAAAUACAAACUUUCAGGCCCCACUCUAGACCCAAACGCUUGAUGAAUUACCAGGCAUUUCAGGAGAGAGUGGAAUUCUGCGUGGAUUUCACCAGGAUCAAAAUCCCAUCAUGAGCUCCAUAAUUAUGUGGAGAAAGUUCAACCAAGAUCCAUGGGUGACUGAUGUUUUGCAGGUGACAGAGACCAAGGGAAAAGGCUAGUGUGUGUGGGAUGGAGCCUCCACAGCUUACUUCCUCCGGCUGCCCGACACCUCCCAGCUGCGGGCUCACCUCUGCGCCCAUCCUGAGCCAAUGAGCUGGGCUGAGACUUGGUGUCUGGAUAACCCACCCUGAGCCUGGGCGUUCACAGGCUCAUAAGACAGACUGCUGCUACUUUCACCACAUCAGCCCAAUCCACAUAAAGCGUCUUCUGCCUCAGUUUCCCUAGCAGGCAUUUGAGAUCUGAAUGGACAGAUCCACAGCCAAUGCCAUUGCCAUCUGCCUGUGCUGACUUUGGGUACUGCCUGCUGCCUGGGCUCCCCUGAUCUCACCCUCUCCAUUGGAUUGGGCUCCUCAGGUCACGCUAUUUCCUCAGCGGAGCCUGAAACUGCUGCCCCCGUUGAGUCACUGUACAUUUGGGACUGGGCCAGCUCUAGAGUGAGGUCAGUUUCCUUGACCCCUGCCUCUCUCCCUGUCUACACUGGCUGAAUUCCUGUUGUCCAAAGAUGCCUAUGACCAGAGCCUGCCCAAGUAAUAGCAGAGAACUGGGGACAUAUGGCCUUUGGAAGGGAAACUGUGAUUGAAGGAUUGAGGACGUUAGAACCAUCAAAGGGCCAACUAGAUAAAGAGCAAAUAACUCUUGUGAUUUUAUUCGGUGCGGCCUGACAUUCUAGAUAUUGAAGGGGGUAAUGAGUGGCACGGCUGAGGAUGGGAAGGCAGGGGUCAUGGAAGUUCACAGAGGCAAGGGCAUCAGGGAUGCUCACGAGAACCAGCAAAGUGGCUAACCUUGGGCUGAAACAAGCAAGGCCAGAGAGGUGUGAGCACGGAGAUCCUGAGCU
ensembl:lncRNA